rnacentral:rRNA from 1 species
AUACGUAGGGAGCGAGCGUUGUCCGGAAUUACUGGGUGUAAAGGGUGCGUAGGCGGGAUGGCAAGUCAGAUGUGAAAUGCCGGGGCUCAACCCCGGAGCUGCAUUUGAAACUGUCGUUCUUGAGUGAGGUAGAGGUAAGCGGAAUUCCUAGUGUAGCGGUGAAAUGCGUAGAUAUUAGGAGGAACAUCGGUGGCGAAGGCGGCUUACUGGGCCUUUACUGGCGCUGAGGCACGAAAGCGUGGGGAGCAAACAGGAUUAGAUACCCUGGUAGUCCACGCUGUAAACGAUGAUGACUAGGUGUGGGGGGACUGAACCCUUCCGUGCCGCAGUAAACACAAUAAGUCAUCCACCUGGGGAGUACGGCCGCAAGGUUGAAACUCAAAUGAAUUGGCGGGG